AUCGCUUCUCGGCCUAUGGCUUAGAUCGUUUGUAAAUUUCUGUUCUGAUCAGCUUAAUAUCUGAUUCGCUUCUACAAGAAGCAGCUUCGAUAUUAAACUGUUUUUUGGAAACUGGCGAAGAGUUGGAGCUUGCUCCUCCUUUGCCGCGGGUUUACUCGAAUUUGCACUACUUUCGAGAUUAGCCCACUACCC